rnacentral:rRNA from 1 species
GACGAACGCUGGCGGCGUGCUUAACACAUGCAAGUCGAACGGAAAGGCCCUGCUUUUGUGGGGUGCUCGAGUGGCGAACGGGUGAGUAACACGUGAGUAACCUGCCCUUGACUUUGGGAUAACUUCAGGAAACUGGGGCUAAUACCGGAUAGGAGCUCCUGCUGCAUGGUGGGGGUUGGAAAGUUUCGGCGGUUGGGGAUGGACUCGCGGCUUAUCAGCUUGUUGGUGGGGUAGUGGCUUACCAAGGCUUUGACGGGUAGCCGGCCUGAGAGGGUGACCGGCCACAGUGGGACUGAGAUACGGCCCAGACUCCUACGGGAGGCAGCAGUGGGGAAUAUUGCACAAUGGGCGGAAGCCUUAUGCAGCAACGCCGCGUGCGGGAUGACGGCCUUCGGGUUGUAAACCGCUUUCGCCUGUGACGAAGCGUGAGUGACGGUAAUGGGUAAAGAAGCACCGGCUAACUACGUG